UGUUUCGGCUAGGGGGCCAUCCCGGCUUACCAACCCGAUGCAAACUGCGAAUACCGGAGAAUGUUAUCACGGGAGACACACGGCGGGUGCUAACGUCCGUCGUGAAGAGGGAAACAACCCAGACCGCCAGCUAAGGUCCCAAAGUCAUGGUUAAGUGGGAAACGAUGUGGGAAGGCCCAGACAGCCAGGAUGUUGGCUUAGAAGCAGCCAUCAUUUAAAGAAAGCGUAAUAGCUCACUGGUCGAGUCGGCCUGCGCGGAAGAUGUAACGGGGCUAAACCAUGCACCGAAGCUGCGGCAGCGACGCUUAUGCGUUCGUUGGGUAGGGGAGCGUUCUGUAAGCCUGUGAAGGUGGCCUGUGAGGGUUGCUGGAGGUAUCAGAAGUGCGAAUGCUGACAUAAGUAACGAUAAAGCGGGUGAAAAGCCCGCUCGCCGGAAGACCAAGGGUUCCUGUCCAACGUUAAUCGGGGCAGGGUGAGUCGACCCCUAAGGCGAGGCCGAAAGGCGUAGUCGAUGGGAAACGGGUUAAUAUUCCCGUACUUGGUGUUACUGCGAAGGGGGGACGGAGAAGGCUAUGUUGGCCGGGCGACGGUUGUCCCGGUUUAAGCGUGUAGGUGUGUGUUCCAGGUAAAUCCGGUUCACUUUAACACUGAGGCGUGACGACGAGGCACUACGGUGCUGAAGCAACAAAUGCCC
rnacentral:rRNA from 1 species